AGUGAACGCUGGCGGUAGGCCUAACACAUGCAAGUCGAACGGCAGCACAGGAGAGCUUGCUCUCUGGGUGGCGAGUGGCGGACGGGUGAGGAAUACAUCGGAAUCUACUCUGUCGUGGGGGAUAACGUAGGGAAACUUACGCUAAUACCGCAUACGACCUACGGGUGAAAGCAGGGGACCUUCGGGCCUUGCGCGAUUGAAUGAGCCGAUGUCGGAUUAGCUAGUUGGCGGGGUAAAGGCCCACCAAGGCGACGAUCCGUAGCUGGUCUGAGAGGAUGAUCAGCCACACUGGAACUGAGACACGGUCCAGACUCCUACGGGAGGCAGCAGUGGGGAAUAUUGGAGAAUGGGCGCAAGCCUGAUCCAGCCACGCCGCGAGGGUGAAGAAGGCCUUCGGGUUGUAAAGCCCUUCUGUUGGGAAAGAAAUCCAGCUGGCUAAUACCCGGUUGGGAUGACGGUACCCAAAGAAUAAGCACCGGCUAACUUCGUGCCAGCAGCCGCGGUAA
rnacentral:rRNA from 1 species